CAGUGUUGGCUGGGGUGAUUGACCUGGACUAUCAAGAUGAAAUCAGUCUACUACUCCACAAUGGAGGUAAAGAAGAGUACGUGUGGAAUACUGGAGAUCCCUUAGGGUGUCUCUUAGUAUUACCAUGUCCUGUGAUUAAGGUCAAUGGGAAACUACAACAACCCAAUCCAGGUAGAACUACAAAUGGCCCAGACCCUUCAACAAGGAAGAUUUGAGUCACUCCACCAGGUAUUUAAUAAGAGUGAUUGACCAAUGAACAAGAGAAAAAGACAAAAUUCAACUCACUGCCUACCACCACCUUCCAGCCAUCCCUCCUAUACCUAUUCUAGAAUAUAGUGUGAACCUGAAAAUUGGAAGGGGAAAGUCGUACACCUGAAAGAAAAAAAUAAAAGAAUGACGCUGGGAGAGGUAUCAGUGGAACAGACUCCUAGAAGACAACGAGAAUGGUGGGAUUCUGAAGUGGCAGGGGCCAUAUGAUGCAAGUAAUAGUUACUGGCACUAAUUGACAAGGUCAAGGUGGGCAUUGUUACCAUAAUACACAACAAUCAUUGAUCUGAUAGUAGUCAGGUAGUAUGACCUACAGAGAUCUUUGUAGCUAAAUAAUUAUAGUCUUAGGACUAAUACAGGUGAACAGCCUACUAAAUCAAGUCUACUUUGAUUUUUAUAAGCAAAAUUGUUAGGACUGGUAGAUGGAGCCCUGAAUUGAAUCACUACAAUAGAGUCAUGCUCCUUAACCACUUCCCAGACUUGAGUGGUUUGUAGACUCAGAGCAGCUUAAAUGAAGAGAAGGUUUGAACCCUUUGAGGAAGGAUACUGCCACACUGCCAAAAAUGUAUGUGGUAAAAUAUCCAUUUAGUCUUUUCCGGAAGAACCUGGAACCAUUUACCAGGGUGCUUGUGCUUUAGGGAAAUAAAAAUAACUGAACAUCUUAGGGAUUGCUAGACACUGCCUUUGAGCUGACACAAAUUCUUGGAGACACAAAACAGCAAAGUGAUUCACCAUUCAGAAAGGGGAUGUACGAAAGCCAGGCGAUUCAUGUCAUUUUGGCUCAGCCCAUCUACAGUGGGUCCCUCAAGCCACCUUGUAGUCAUGUUCCUAGUUCUAAAAUGAAAAGUUGGAAUGGAUACACUCAGCAAUGUGGGCUUCCACUUGCCAAGGUUAAUCUGGCUACAUCAAUAUUGAAUGCCCAACCUGCCAACAGUAGAGACAAACUGUGAAGCCCUGAUACAAUGGCAUUCCAAAGGGUGACCAGAUAGCCAUCUGAAGGCAAGUUGAUUACAUUAGCAAAUUUCUUUCAUGAAAAGGGCAGCCAUUUGUUCAUACCAAAAUAGACAUGUAUGCUGGAUCUGAUUUUGCCUUCCCUGCCCAACAGUUUUCUGCUGGUAAAGAGAGCUUAGUUUCCAAUCAAAUAAGGCCUCUACAGGGAGUUAAAACAAUGGUUACAUUAAACUAGAAGCUAAGAAUGCCACCUUGUCACUAUAAACACCUUUAUGCAAAUAAACUGGAAAAUCUAGAAAAAAUUGAUAAAUUCCUGGACACAUACCCCUCCCAAGACUAAACCAGGAAGAAGUCAAAUCCCUGGAUAGACCAAUAACAAGUUCUGAAAUUGAGGUAGUAAUUAACAGCCUACCAACCAAAAAAAGCCCAGGACCAGAAGGAUUCACAGCCAAAUUCUAAGAGGUACAAAGAAGAGCUGGUACCAUUCCUUCUGAAACUAUUCCAAACUAUAGAAAAAGAGGGACUCCUCCCUAAUUCAUUUUAUGAGGCCAGCAUCAUCUUGAUACAAAAACCUGGCAGAGACACAAGAAGAAAAGAAAAUUUUAGGCCACUAUCCCUGAUGAACACCAGUGCAAAAAUCCGCAAUAAAAUACUGGCAAGCUGAAUCCAGCAGCACAUCAAAAAGCUUAUUCACCAUGAUCAAGUCAGCUUCAUCCCUGGGAUAUGAGACUGGUUCAACAUACCCAAAUCAAUAAACGUAAUCCAUGACAUAAACAGAACCAAUGACAAAGAAACACAUGAUUAUCUCAAUAGAUGCAAAAAAAAGGCCUUCAAUAAAAUUCAACACCCCUUCAUGCUAAAAACUCUCUAUAAACUAGGUAUUGAUGGAACGUCUCUCAAAAUAAUAAGAGCUAUUUAUGACAAACCCACAGCCAAUAUCAUACUGAAUGGGCAAAAGCAGGAAGCAUUCCCUUUGAAAACCGGCACAAGACAAGGAUGCCCUCUCUCACCGCUCCUAUUCAACACAGUAUUGGAAGUUCUGGUCAGGGCAAUCAGGCAAGAGAAAGAAAUAAAGAGUAUUCAAAUAGGAAGCGAGGAAAUCAAAUUGUCUCUGUUUGCAGAUGACAUGAUUGUAUAUUUAGAAAACCACAUCAUGUCAGCCCAAAAUCUCCUUAAGUUGAUAAGCAACUUCAGCAAAAUCUCAGGAUACAAAAUCAGUGUGCAAAAUCUCAGGAUACAAAAUCAGUGUGCAAAAAUUGCAGGCAUUCCUAUACACCAAUAAUAGACAAACAGAGAGGCAAAUCAUGAGCAAAUUCCCAUUCACAAUUGCUACAAAGAGAAUAAAAUACCUAGGAAUACAACUUAUGAGAGAUGUGAAGGACCUCUUCAAGGAGAACUAUCAACCACUCCUCAAGGAAAUAAAAGAGGACACAAACAAAUGGAAAAACGUUCCAUGCUCAUGGAAAAGAAGAAUAAAUAUCUGAAAAUGGCCAUACUGCCCAAAGUAAUUUAUAGAUUCAGUGCUAUGCCCAUCAAGCUACCAUUGACUUUCUUCACAGAAUUAGAAAAAAACUACUUUAAAUUUCAUAUGGAACCAAAAAGAGCCUGUAUAGCCAAGACAAUCCUAAGCAAAAAGAACAAAGCUGGGGGCAUCACGCUACCUGAUUUCAAACUAUACUACAAGGCUACAGUAACCAAACAGCAUGGUACUAAUACCAAAACAGAUAUAUAGACCAAUGGAACAGGACAGAGGCCUCAGAAAUAAUGCCACACAUCUACAACCAUCUGAUCUUUGACAAACCUGACAAGAACAAGCAAUGGGGAAAGGAUUCCCUAUUUAAUAAAUGGUUUUGGGAAAACUGGCUAGCCAUAUGCAGAAAACUGAAACUGGACCCCUUCCUUACAUUGGUUUUUUUUCUUUAGAGCUUGUAUACUUGAAUUCUUUUCAAAUUACCACUUUAAUAUAUGUUUGAAAUCAGUGAAUACAAAGGUGUACAAGAAAAAAGUUUAUCAUCUGUAUCAUGACACUUCCUCUAUUGCACCUUCCUGAGAUAAGCCAUGUCAACAAUAUGGUGUGUAUCUUUCUAAACAUUUCACUUAGUUUAUUAAAACUUACACGAGACUUUGCAUGCAUAGAUACGGUUGGUUUUUUUUAAUUCCCUUUGCUUUGUUGCUCAUUUUAACAUAAUAAAAUCAUACUGCAAAUAGGAUCUGCAACUUUGGCAAAAUAUUUAUGUAGAUAUAAGUACAUAUUAUUUUUUACUAUUUUCCACAAUUGAAAUCAUAUUUGACAUACUUUCAUACAUUCUGCUUUUGUCAUUCAUAAAUUCUUUAGAUCAAUUCCUCCAAGCCAACUGGCAUAGCUCUAAUUCAUUUGUUCAUUUAAAUAACUAAAAUAAAUCAUGGUUUGGAUAUUUUAUAAUUUAUUUAGGCAUUGCCCUAGCACUGAGCAACAUAUUGCUACAUGCCACUAAAACAAUGCUAAUAAAAACAUCCAAAAGAAUAUCUUUAUUUGCUUUUAUUUGUGUAGGAUAGAUAUGCAAUAGUGACCUGUGAAUUGUCUAGGGCUAAGACUUUUUAUUUUAGUGAUUGCUGCCAGGUUGUUUUCCAAAAUAGGUACAACAAUUCAUA